rnacentral:rRNA from 1 species
AAGCACUUUUCCGGAUUUCUUCGGAUUGAAGCAACUGUGACUGAGCGGCGGACGGGUGAGUAACGCGUGGGUAACCUGCCUCAUACAGAGGGAUAACAGUUGGAAACGGCUGCUAAUACCGCAUAAGCGCACAGUACCGCAUGGUACGGUGUGAAAAACUCCGGUGGUAUGAGAUGGACCCGCGUCUGAUUAGGUAGUUGGUGGGGUAACGGCCUACCAAGCCGACGAUCAGUAGCCGACCUGAGAGGGUGACCGGCCACAUUGGGACUGAGACACGGCCCAAACUCCUACGGGAGGCAGCAGUGGGGAAUAUUGCACAAUGGGGGAAACCCUGAUGCAGCGACGCCGCGUGAGCGAUGAAGUAUUUCGGUAUGUAAAGCUCUAUCAGCAGGGAAGAAAAUGACGGUACCUGACUAAGAAGCCCCGGCUAACUACGUGCCAGCAGCCGCGGUAAUACGUAGGGGGCAAGCGUUAUCCGGAUUUACUGGGUGUAAAGGGAGCGUAGACGGCAUGGCAAGCCAGAUGUGAAAGCCCGGGGCUCAACCCCGGGACUGCAUUUGGAACUGUCAGGCUAGAGUGUCGGAGAGGAAAGCGGAAUUCCUAGUGUAGCGGUGAAAUGCGUAGAUAUUAGGAGGAACACCAGUGGCGAAGGCGGCUUUCUGGACGAUG